rnacentral:rRNA from 1 species
AUGACGCUCCUGGGUUGGAUGCACCGGAAGCUGCGAAGCAAUAACGACGUCUUCAAAGAGUUCAACACCACCGGAGGCGGGGCCUGCAACUGCAUCGCUGGACUAGCCUCGCAGGACCACGAGUACUACGAUGAUGAUGCUUUCGUCGCCAACCAUCCUUCACCGCCGGUCAACGCCGACGACCUCUUCACCUUCGGCGGCAGCGGCCUCCUUACCAUUGGCACGCUAGGGUUCGCCGCCAUUAAUGUCCCCGGAGAAGACGAGGGCCACGAAGACUAUGAUGUUGAUGAUGACGACUGCGUCGACAUUGACCUUGACAACAUCGAUGGCACCAUCGACGAAGUUGACGAUGGCAAUGUUGAUGAUGGUGCUCUCACACCUACCUUCACCUUCCCCCAGCUUGAGUCCACCACCGCGGAGAAGGUGAUGGUCAGCGUCGAGGCGAUCGCGGAAAAAGAUGACGUCGCCACCACGGAGGACGAACUCAUGCUGGUGAGCGCUGAGUUGGAGAAGGUCCUCGGGGGCAGCAACGUGCCGUCGGCACGGGUAAGCUUCGCCAUGGGCAUCGAUUGCCCACUGCAGGGCUUCCUACUUGGUUCCCCAGUGUGCAGCGACACUGAAUCAUGGCCAGAGAAGCCAAACGGCGGUGGACGUCGUGCCUCGCUCGGUGAGUUGUUCAUGCGGACACGCUUCACGGAAGAGAAGGGGGCCCUAGUCGCCGUCCAGGAGAGCGAGGAUGGUGGUGAGAGGGAGGAAGGGAAAGUAGGGAAAGGCGGAGACAGCGGUCACAAAAGGACGAAGAAGUGGAGGGUGAAGGAUGAGAAAGGCGCUGGCGGCGACGGAGUGCCAGCCAGUGCAACGGCCAAGAGCAAGUUUCAGAAGAUCCUGAAAAUCUUCCACAGGAAAGUCUACCCUGAAAGCACUAUGCUGACCAAGAAGAACCGCAAGCGGGGUACCCCAGACAACAGCGGCGGUGGCGGUGCCACCGACGAGUCGGUGCCCUCACCGACUCCGAAGAAGACCGGGCCACGCAGGCUGAGCUUCGGCUGCUGCUGCACGAAGCGCUCCUUCAGCGCCUCCCCUGUUGACGACGUAGGUGAGGAGCUCAACGGCGACAAGAGCGGCCACUGGAUCAAGACCGACGCAGACUACCUGGUACUGGAAUUAUAG